CAAAUUCAAGUUCAUAACAGUUGCUUCUUGAGGUCUGGCCAGUUUUUUCCUUGCCCUUCCCCUUCUUUGGAAUUUGUCCAGCUUUUUUCUUCUGUCAACCAAACAACUAUUACCAGCAAACCACAAUAACCAGCAACUAUUUAAAUCCAGCGACUCAUAAAUCCAACAACUCAAAAAGGUAACGGCAGUGGCAUAUUUGAGCCAAACUUUCAACGAGUGGCAUAAAUGAGCCAUUUCUGAUAGUUCGAUGACAUAUUUGAGCCUUUUCCGUUGGUUUAAUUAGGAUUUAUUUUGGCUGGUUUUCAUUUAAGUGACGUGGACCAAUAAAUUUUUGCCACGUGGCAUAUCUGGUAUUUUAAAACCACCGUUAGUGAAUAAUGGCAUGGAUGAGCCAAAAAGGUAACGGCAGUGGCAUAUUUGAGCCAAACUUUCAACGAGUGGCAUAAAUGAGCCAUUUCUGAUAGUUCGAUGGCAUAUUUGAGCCUUUUCCGUUAUUAAAAUGAAGGAGUCAUAUAAUUUUAAUUUAAUUAGGGGUAUUAUAUUUGAGGCUUUUCCUUUCACUUUCAAGUGGUUAAAGUCGUAACUCAAAGAUGAGAAUUUAACUUACCUAAGCUGCUAAUGUAAAAAAAUCAUUAUUAAUCCAGUGGUAACAGGACUUUUAUUUACGAGGUUUGUUUAAUCAACAAAGAUUAUUAUUUCUUUUAUAAAAUAAAAAAAUAUAACUACUCAGCACCAUUUUAAAUGUUUUCCGUGACCGCGCAACGCGUGAGUACAGAUACUAGUUUAUAUAUAAUAGAAGAGACAAAAGAUGGAUAUGAUGACAAGUGUCAUCACCAAAAAAAUCCAAAUUUAAUUUUAAAAUAAAAAAAUUGCUUAAGUGAAAAAAGAUUAAAAUUGAAAAUUAGAAAAUUUAGGUCAAACACCUUGCUUAAACUGUACCUACACGUUCCAAGCAGUUUUAAAGAUUUUAAGCCUAAUAGCCAAGACCGUCUCAACUUCUGCAGUUUUCUACAUUUGGUUUCUUCAUAUUUAUCAAAAUCAAAAUAGCAGUUUCCAUGACAGAACAAGAAUUCAAAUUCGUAAUUCCACAGUUUCUGCCUCAAAAAGGCACAAACCAAAUUUCCAGCUGACAUCUCUUUUUCCCAGUGGAUUUGAUUUGUAAGAUUUCUCCCUCUACUGUGUCUGUAUAUAUGUAUUUAUAUACAGAAUCCUGUUUCCGAAAUUUUCUGCUAUUUUAUAAACCAAAAUCCUUACUUCCUCUUUGAGAAUUAGUUUGGACAGUGUGAAUUAAAAUCCUUAAUCCGGAGCAUGGGUUUCGUGCCGGAGUUUGGACAGUGUUGGGGACAGCAUCUGCGCCAUAGUUCGUCCAAAUAAAGUACCAUAUCUGUGAUACGAGGUGCAGUUAUUUGAGCGUCUUCUUCAAGUUAUCAAGCAUUUUAAUGUUAAAACGGUGUCAAGGUUCAAACGUAUGAAAAAUAUUGACGGACAUUCCCAAAAAUGAAUUGUAUACUAGGAGGAUUUUGAGGUAGUGGGUUUGUACCAGAUUUGCUGCUGUACAUAUCCAAGUAGGGUUUUCUGUAGGUUCAAUUUCACGUCAAAUUCAAAAGUUUUUCAUUGUAUAUUACCUCUCUAAUUUUCUGGUUCUGUUAGGAACAUGAUAGAAAGUCUUCACCAGUUGAUUUCAUUUUUUAAAAAAAAAUUCUUAUGGCAACUCUUUUACUUAUUGAAGGAUGGAUUACGAUAAAACAAAAGCUUCCAUUUGUACUAGUGAGGGAACGAAAUCUUUGAAGAUCGCUAAUGCCUUGGUUUAUCCAGACUUUAACUACUAUGCAAAUUGAAGAAUUUUAGGUACAGCAAGGCCCAAUGAGGGGUAAUCCGAGCAAUUAGAUCUGGUUGAUUCCGAGGCAAUGCAGGUUGGUCGAGUGAGCAGAAGGAGAUUCCAACACUUAAAGGCAAAAUCAGACUACUGAAAGGUCCAAUGCGCUAGCUAUGUGUCACAAAGUCAGCGCACAAAAACCCCAUUUCUGAAUCUCAGACAGGCCAUGCGUUGGUCAUGCGUCGCGUGAGCAAAGCACAAGGAAGACCAUGUGCUGGCUAUGCGUCUCACAACCAGCGCACAAGAGGCAUCAGUUCUCCUAAUUUGAUUGGAAUUGCGCCAACUUAUCUCAUAUUUUCCCUAGCUUAUAUUAGUCGUUGUAACAUUAGAAAGGCAGCUUAGACGAUUUUUAAGACUUGUGAAACUCUUUCUAGGUUUUAUUCCUCUUCUAUUAUACAUUAAACCCUAUGUUAUUCAUGAAUUCUUGCUUCCAUUCUCGAAUCGUGUGUAACUAAACUCCUUAAUUUUGGGGUUGUGGUUUAACCGUGAAUAUUGACGUUUGACAAGUAUUUUAAUCUUAGUAGCU